GAUGAACGCUGGCGGCGUGCCUAAUACAUGCAUGUCGAGCGAACAGAUGAGGAGCUUGCUCCUCUGACGUUAGCGGCGGACGGGUGAGUAACACGUGGAUAACCUACCUAUAAGACUGGGAUAACUUCGGGAAACCGGAGCUAAUACCGGAUAAUAUAUUGAACCGCAUGGUUCAAUAGUGAAAGACGGUUUUGCUGUCACUUAUAGAUGGAUCCGCGCCGCAUUAGCUAGUUGGUAAGGUAACGGCUUACCAAGGCAACGAUGCGUAGCCGACCUGAGAGGGUGAUCGGCCACACUGGAACUGAGACACGGUCCAGACUCCUACGGGAGGCAGCAGUAGGGAAUCUUCCGCAAUGGGCGAAAGCCUGACGGAGCAACGCCGCGUGAGUGAUGAAGGUCUUCGGAUCGUAAAACUCUGUUAUUAGGGAAGAACAAAUGUGUAAGUAACUAUGCACGUCUUGACGGUACCUAAUCAGAAAGCCACGGCUAACUACGUG
rnacentral:rRNA from 1 species